rnacentral:rRNA from 1 species
UGACAGUACUCCUACGGGAGGCAGCAGUGGGGAAUAGUUGCACAAUGGGCGCAAGCCUGAUGCAGCAACGCCGUGUGAGUGAAGAAGGUUUUCGGAUCGUAAAACUCUGUCCUAAGGGAAGAAACAAAUGACGGUACCUUAGGAGGAAGCCCCGGCUAACUACGUGCCAGCAGCCGCGGUAAUACGUAGGGGGCAAGCGUUAUCCGGAAUCACUGGGCGUAAAGGGUGCGUAGGCGGCUUAGCAAGCCAGGGGUGAAAGGCAUUGGCUCAACCAAUGUAAGCCUUUGGAACUGUUAAGCUUGAGUGCAGGAGAGGUAAGUGGAAUUCCUAGUGUAGAGGUGAAAUUCGUAGAUAUUAGGAGGAACACCAGUGGCGAAGGCGACUUACUGGACUGUAACUGACGCUGAUGCACGAAAGCGUGGGUAGCGAACAGGAUUAGAUACCCUGGUAG